rnacentral:tRNA from 1 species
ACCAGGAUGGCCGAGUGGUUAAGGCGUUGGACUUAAGAUCCAAUGGACGUAUGUCCGCGUGGGUUCGAACGCCACUUCUGGUA